rnacentral:rRNA from 1 species
AUUGAACGCUGGCGGCAUGUCUUACACAUGCAAGUCGAACGGCAGCGGACCUUCGGGUGCCGGCGAGUGGCGAACGGGUGAGUAAUAUAUCGGAACGUACCUUUCAGUGGGGGAUAACGUAGCGAAAGUUACGCUAAUACCGCAUAUUCUGUGAGCAGGAAAGCAGGGGAUCGCAAGACCUUGCGCUGAUUGAGCGGCCGAUAUCAGAUUAGCUAGUUGGUGAGGUAAAGGCUCACCAAGGCGACGAUCUGUAGCGGGUCUGAGAGGAUGAUCCGCCACACUGGAACUGAGACACGGUCCAGACUCCUACGGGAGGCAGCAGUGGGGAAUUUUGGACAAUGGGCGCAAGCCUGAUCCAGCCAUGCCGCGUGAGUGAAGAAGGCC